rnacentral:pre_miRNA from 1 species
UUUUCAAGAUAAGUGUGUCCCAUGUAAUAUUUGGUACAUACUUAUCCUAACA